rnacentral:rRNA from 1 species
UGCGCAGGCGGGCUUGUAAGUCAGUGGUGAAAUACUGCCGCUCAACGGUAGAACUGCCAUUGAUACUGCAAGUCUUGAAUAUGGUUGAGGUAGGCGGAAUGUGUCGUGUAGCGGUGAAAUGCAUAGAUAUGACACAGAACGCCAAUUGCGAAGGCAGCUUACUAAGCCAUUAUUGACGCUGAGGCACGAAAGCGUAGGGAGCGAACAGGAUUAGAUACCCUGGUAGUC